AGAGCGUGGCAAGCGUUGUUCGGAAUUACUGGGCGUAAAGGGCGCGUAGGUGGCCUUCUUAGUCAGACGUGAAAUCCCCAGGCUUAACCUGGGAACUGCGUCUGAUACUGGAAGGCUCGAGUUCGGGAGAGGAAUGUGGAAUUCCAGGUGUAGCGGUGAAAUGCGUAGAUAUCUGGAGGAACACCGGUGGCGAAGGCGGCAUUCUGGACCGAAACUGACGCUGAGGCGCGAAAGCCAGGGGAGCAAACGGGAUUAGAUACCCCGGUAGUCCUGGCCCUAAACGAUGAGUGCUUGGUGUGGCGGGUAUCGAUCCCUGCCGUGCCGAAGCUAACGCAUUAAGCACUCCGCCUGGGGAGUACGGUCGCAAGGCUG
rnacentral:rRNA from 1 species